GCCGCGCUAGCUCAAUUUUGGUAGAGCAUCUGCACUGUCAUGUAGGAGGUUACGGGUUCGAAUCCCGUGCGCGGCC
rnacentral:tRNA from 1 species